UGACCUCGGAUCAGGUAGGAAUACCCGCGAACUA
rnacentral:rRNA from 1 species